AAUAGGGCCCAUCCAUACAGGCUAGGAAGGUGGCAAGAGCUGAAAACCUUGCAAACUGUUAACAAAAAAAGAGUUGAAACAAAGAAACAAUAAUACAUUUAAUGCAUGAGAAAUACUAGCAUGGUACAUACCCCCUUCCCUGAUCUGUCCUGCCUGGGAAUGUGUUUAUGGUGCAGUGUGUAUCACAACAAAAAUACUGUAUGGAGUAUUUUUUUUUUUUUGAGACGGAGUCUCACUCUGUCACCCAGGCUGAAGUUGCAGUGAGCCAAGAAAGUGCCACUGCACUCAAGCCUGGGCAACAGAGCAAGACUCCAUCUCAAUCAAUCAAUCAAUCAAUAAGGAUGUAUUUGGAAUUUCCGAUGAACAGCAUGAAGGGGCACGGUCCCUAGCGUUAAGAGGCACG
rnacentral:lncRNA from 1 species